GGUAGUGACGGUGUGCCGGCGUGGGGAGUACGGAGGGGGCAAGCGGUGUCCGGGAUUAUUGGGCGUAAAUGUGUGGGAGGCGGUGUGUCACGUCGGGGGGUAAAGGCCGGGGCUUAACGCCGGGUCUGCAUUCGAUACGGGCUGGCUAGAGUGGGGUAGGGGAGAUCGGAAUUCCUGGUGUAGCGGUGAAAUGCGCAGAUAUCAGGAGGAACACCGGUGGCGAAGGCGGAUCUCUGGGCCAUUACUGACGCUGAGGAGCGAAAGCGUGGGGAGCGAACAGGAUUAGAUACCCUAGUAGUC
rnacentral:rRNA from 1 species